UUGGAAAAUCAGAUUCUCUUUAGCUUCUUCAGUUGUUGUUGAAUCCCACCGGAGUAUUAUCUUCUCCGCCGUCUCUAAAUCGGAACUAUCGCCAUGAUUCUCUGGUGUUGCCAUAUUCAAAAUCGGAAACUGGAAAGUGUUUGACUUCACAGAUCGAUUUUGGUCCUCUUGCAGAGAAAUUGAAGAUCUCUUCUCAAAAGGCUGUGGAAAUCCAUUUCUGCAGAAUCGAGAGAAAGAGAGA
rnacentral:lncRNA from 1 species